UGGGGGAUAUUGCACAAUGGGGGGAACCCUGAUGCAGCGACGCCGCGUGGGUGAAGAAGCGCCUCGGCGCGUAAAGCCCUGUCAGCAGGGAAGAAAAUGACGGUACCUGAAGAAGAAGCCCCGGCUAACUACGUGCCAGCAGCCGNGU
rnacentral:rRNA from 1 species